CCUGUCUACGCAGGUCGGGAUGUGAUUCGCGUUCGUGGCCGACGGCCGCGAGGAGGCGGCACCGCCGCCGAAACGGGAAUUGAACCACACA
rnacentral:ncRNA from 1 species